UACGUAGGGUGCAAGCGUUGUCCGGAUUUAUUGGGCGUAAAGAGCUCGUAGGCGGUUUGUCGCGUCGGAUGUGAAAACCCAGGGCUCAACCCUGGGCCUGCAUUCGAUACGGGCAAACUAGAGUAUGGCAGGGGAGACUGGAAUUCCUGGUGUAGCGGUGAAAUGCGCAGAUAUCAGGAGGAACACCGGUGGCGAAGGCGGGUCUCUGGGCCAAAACUGACGCUGAGGCGCGAAAGCGUGGGGAGCGAACAGG
rnacentral:rRNA from 1 species